rnacentral:rRNA from 1 species
AUUGAACGCUGGCGGCAUGCUUUACACAUGCAAGUCGAACGGUAACAGGGAGCUUGCUCCGCUGACGAGUGGCGAACGGGUGAGUAAUGCGUCGGAACGUGCCGAGUAGUGGGGGAUAACGCAUCGAAAGGUGUGCUAAUACCGCAUACGUACUGAGGUAGAAAGUGGGGGACCUUCGGGCCUCACGCUAUUCGAGCGGCCGACGUCUGAUUAGCUAGUUGGUGAGGUAAAGGCUCACCAAGGCGACGAUCAGUAGCGGGGCUGAGAGGAUGGUCCACCAAGCUGGGACUAAAACACGGCCCAGAAUCAUACGGGAGGCAGCAGGGGGGAAUUUUGGACAAUGGGCGCAAGCCUGAUCCAGCCAUGCCGCGUGUCUGAAGAAGGCCUUCGGGUUGUAAAGGACUUUUGUCCGGGAGCAAAUGCUGGUGGCUAACAUCCACCGGAGCUGAGAGUACCGGAAGAAUAAGCACCGGCUAACUACGUGCCAGCCGCCGCCGUAAAAC